rnacentral:rRNA from 1 species
UACGUAGGGGGCUAGCGUUGUCCGGAAUCAUUGGGCGUAAAGCGCGCGUAGGCGGCCCUGUUAGUCCACUGUAAAAGUCAAAGGCUCAACCUUUGAAUGCCGGUGGAUACUGCAGGGCUAGAGUCCGGAAGAGGCGAGUGGAAUUCCUGGUGUAGCGGUGGAAUGCGCAGAUAUCAGGAGGAACACCAACGGCGAAGGCAGCUCGCUGGGACGGUACUGACGCUAAGGCGCGAAAGCGUGGGGAGCGAACAGG